UCUCGCCUCAGCCUCUCAAGUAGCUGGGACUAUAGAAAGGAGCUGGGAAAGGAGAGGCCAAAGAACAGACAACUACUGACUGUUGAGCAAGUAAGGCCUGGCGAGUCUCCAGCUGGACUGGUCUUCGUUGUGAGUCGUAGAGGUUCUCUUCAUUGAAUUUGCAAGUAGAGAGGAGUGUGUGAAGGGAAGAGAAAUACUCAGGUUCUUUCUCUGCAGAAGAUACCUAAAUGGUAAGUGUGGUACUGAACUGAUAAACUGAAGUUGCUAAAGUGGUUAGUAAAUGAAAGGAAGGAGAAGCAAAGGAAAGUCUUAGCCUCCAACUCUGUUUCAUGCUAAACCAACAUACUCACCUAUCAGCACACCAGAUAUAAGCCAAACCUUUGAGGAGAGAUAUAAUUCCCUUCAUGAUCUCAGAUGAGGAAGCUGAGAUUCAAAAAGGUCAAAAUCUGGCCAAAAACACAAGGCUAAAAGGAGGAUUAAAACCCUGGAUAAAUCUUGACUGGAAUCUACCAAACCACAGUCUGAAGGAGUGAUUCUGAAUCAGAGAGUUUGGAUAUUGAAGUUUAAUAACCAACAUAAAAAGAUGCAAUUUUGGUUUGAAUAAAGACAUUUGGCUGAAGACAACAAACAACCAAGGGUCUGCUCAAGAAUCUUUGCAGUUAAUUUCUAGAGAAAAAAAAAAACAGGGUCUAUACUUACUUUGCCAUUCAUGGUUUUCCCA